rnacentral:hammerhead_ribozyme from 1 species
AUCCAGAUGACGAGUCCCAAAUAGAACGAAACGGGUGUCCUGGAU